AUCCAUCUGAUGGAUUCCAAAUAGGACGAAACGCGCGUCCUGGAU
rnacentral:hammerhead_ribozyme from 1 species